UGGAGGAAGUGGGUCACAGUAGGCGGGCUUUGAGGACUCCUAGUGCUCAAGCUCCACCCAAUAGGGAAGAGACAGCCUCCUGCUGGCUGCCUUCAGAUCAAGAUGUAGAACUCUCAGCUCCUCCACCACCAUGUCUGUCUGCAUGCCAUCAUGCUUCCUGUUGUGAUGAUAAUUGACCAAACCUCUGAACCUGUAAGCCCCAACUAAAUGUUGUCCUCUAUAAGAGUCGCGCUGGUCAUGGUGUCUCUUCACGGAACCCCAACUAAGACAGUGGCCCACGAGAAGAUCACAAGAGUAGAAAGGCUACAUGGUGAAAAAAGUGCCUGUCACCAACAGUGCUUCCCGGUGUCCUCGCCUGCACAGUGUAUUCCAGACUUUGGGAUCCGUGUCAAUCAAUUCGAAUUCCUUCUUUAUUGUAAAGUGCCCACAGAGGCCAGAAGAGGGCGCUGGAUCCCCUUGAUCUGGAGAUACCGGAGUUUGUGAGCAGUGGGACCUGACUGAACUCUGGUCUCCUGUACCAGGGCCACUGAGCCACCUUGCCAGUCCCAUAUCUCACUAUUUUAUAGAAAAUUUUCAUCAAAUAAAUAAUUAAUACUGAAAUUAU